rnacentral:rRNA from 1 species
UACGUAGGGGGCAAGCGUUGUCCGGAAUCAUUGGGCGGAAAGAGCGCGUAGGUGGCUAUGUAAGUCCGUUGUGAAAGUCAAAGGCUCAACCUUUGAAAGCCGAUGGAUACUGCAUAGCUAGAGUACGGAAGAGGCGAGUGGAAUUCCUGGUGUAGCGGUGGAAUGCGCAGAUAUCAGGAGGAACACCGGUGGCGAAGGCGGGUCUCUGGGCCGUAACUGACGCUGAGGAGCGAAAGCGUGGGGAGCGAACAGG